GGUCCCAAUGGGGUUAUAGGGUCCUUAUAGGGUUACAAUGGUGUUAUAGGGUCACAAUGGGGUUAUAGGGUAAUUAUAGGGUCCCAAUGGGGUUAUAGGGUCAUUAUAGGGUCCCAAUGGGGUUAUAGGGUCACAAUGGGGUUAUAGGGUAAUUAUAGGGUCCCAAUGGGGUUAUAGGGUCAUUAUAGGGUCNGGGUCAUUAUAGGGUCCCAAUGGGGUUAUAGGGUCACAAUGGGGUUAUAGGGUAAUUAUAGGGUCCCAAUGGGGUUAUAGGGUCAUUAUAGGGUCACAAUGGGGUUGUAGGGUAAUUAUAGGGUCCCAGUGAGGUUAUAGGGUCAUUAUAGGGUCGUUAUGGGGUUAUAGGGUCACAAUGGGGUUAUAGGGUAAUUAUAGGGUCCCAAUGGGGCUAUAGGGUCAUUAUAGGGUUACAAUGGGGUUAUAGGGUCACAAUGGGGUUAUAGGGUCAUUAUAGGGUCCCAGUGGGGUUAUAGGGUCCCAAUGGGGUUAUAGGGUCCUUAUAGGGUCCCAAUGGGGUUAUAGGGUCCUUAUAGGGUCGCUAUGGGGUUAUAGGGUCAUUAUAGGGUCGUUAUGGGGUUACAGGGUCCCAAUGGGGUUAUAGGGUAAUUAUAGGGUCCCAGUGGGGUUAUAGGUUCAUUAUAGGGUCGCUAUGGGGUUAUAGGGUCCUUAUAGGGUUACAAUGGGGUUAUAGGGUCAUUAUAGGGUCGCUAUGGGGUUAUAGGGUCCCAAUGGGGUUAUAGGGUCCUUAUAGGGUCCCAAUGAGGUUAUAGGGUCAUUAUAGGGUCGCUAUGGGGUUAUAGGGUCAUUAUAGGGUCGCAAUGGGGUUAUAGGUUCAUUAUAGGGUCGCUAUGGGGUGGUUAUGGGGUGAGUGGUACCUGGGAGGUCGAUGUGGGGCCGACGGAGGGUGGCGGAGUUACGCUGUGAGGGGAUAUAGGGUCGUUAUGGGGUCAAUAUAGGGUCGUUAUAGGGUCAUGGUGGGAUAUAGGGUCAAUGGGAUCAGUGGAGUCAAUGGGAUCAAUGGGGGGGAUAAGGGAUUAAUAUGGGGUCAUGAUGGGAUAUGGGGUCAAUGGGGUCGAUAUGGGUUUAAUGGGAUCAAUGGGGUCAAUGGGGUCAAUAUGGGUUUAAUGGGGUCAAUGGGGUCAAUGGGGUCAAUGGGAUCAAUGGGGUCAAUGGGAUUAAUGGGGUCAAUGGGAUCAAUGGGGUCAAUGGGGUCAAUGGGGUCAAUAUGGGUUUAAUGGGGUCAAUGGGGUCAAUGGGAUCAAUGGGGUCAAUGGGAUCAAUGGGGUCAGUGGAGUCAAUGGGAUCAAUGGGAUCAAUGGGGUCAAUGGGGUCAAUGGGGUCAAUAGGAUCAAUGGGGUCAAUGGGGUCAAUAUGGGUUUAAUGGGGUCAAUGGGGUCAAUGGGAUCAAUGGGAUCAAUGGGGUCAAUGGGGUCAAUGGGGUCAGUGGGAUCAAUGGGGUCAAUAUGGGAUAUGGGGUCGUUAUGGGGUCAGUGGGGGGGAUAUGGGAUCAAUGGGGUCAAUGGGAUCAAUGGGGUCAAUGGGGUCAAUGGGGUCAAUGGGAUCUAUGGGAUUAAUGGGGUCAAUGGGAUCAGUGGGGUCAAUGGGGUCAAUGGGGUCAAUGGGGUCA
rnacentral:lncRNA from 1 species